UACGGCAAUAUAACGUUGAAACACCGAUUCCUGUACGAUCACCGAAGUCAAGCAACGUCGAACCUGGUCACUAACUUGAUGGGUAACCUCUUAGGAAUACCACGUGCUGUA